rnacentral:rRNA from 1 species
GGCACGCCUAAUACAUGCAAGUCGAACGAAGUAGCAAUACUUAGUGGCAGACGGGUGAGUAACAUGUAGGUAUCUACCCUUUGGCCUGGAAUAACACGAGGAAACUUGUGCUAAUACCGGAUAAGUCUUUACGGAGAAAGCUUUAUGCACCAUUGGAUGAGCCUGCACUUGAUUAGUUUGUUGGUGGGGUAAUGGCCUACCAAGACAAUGAUCAAUAGCUGAUUUGAGAGGAUGAUCAGCCACAUUGGGACUGAGACACGGCCCAAACUCUUACGGGAGGCAGCAGUAGGGAAUCUUGCACAAUGGAGGAAACUCUGAUGCAGCGAUGCCGCGUGAGUGAAGAAGGCCUUUGGGUUGUAAAGCUCUUUCGUCGGGGAAGAAAAUGACUGUACCCGAAUAAGAAGGUCCGGCUAACUUCGUGCCAGCAGCCGCGGUAAUACGAAGGGACCUAGCGUAGUUCGGAAUUACUGGGCUUAAAGAGUUCGUAGGUGGUUAAAAAAGUUGGUGGUGAAAUCCCAGAGCUUAACUCUGGAACUGCCAUCAAAACUUUUUAGCUAGAGUAUGAUAGAGGAAAGCAGAAUUUCUAGUGUAGAGGUGAAAUUCGUAGAUAUUAGAAAGAAUACCGAUUGCGAAGGCAGCUUUCUGGAUCAUUACUGACACUGAGGAACGAAAGCAUGGGUAGCGAAGAGGAUUAGAUACCCUCGUAGUCCAUGCCGUAAACGAUGUGUGUUAGACGUUGGAAAUUUAUUUUCAGUGUCGCAGCGAAAGCGAUAAACACACCGCCUGGGGAGUACGAC